GACGAGGUGGCCAAGUGGUUAAGACAUUGGACUGCUAAUCCAUUGUGCUCUGCACACAAGGGUUCAAAUCCCGUCCUCGUCG